rnacentral:siRNA from 1 species
CCAAAGUUUCAAAAUAGUGCCUUU